rnacentral:rRNA from 1 species
GACGAACGCUGGCGGCGUGCCUAACACAUGCAAGUCGAGCGGGGUUGAAGCGAGGGGUAACUCGAACUUCUACCUAGCGGCGGACGGGUGAGUAACGCGUGGGCAACCUGCCUCAAGGUCUGGGAUAACAGCUCGAAAGGGCUGCUAAUACCGGAUAUGCCUAUAGCCUCGCAUGGGGCUAUGAGCAAAGGGGAAACCCGCCUUGAGAUGGGCCCGCGUCCCAUCAGCUAGUUGGUGAGGUGAAGGCUCACCAAGGCGACGACGGGUAGCCGGCCUGAGAGGGUGACCGGCCACACUGGGACUGAGACACGGCCCAGACUCCUACGGGGGGCAGCAGUGGGGAAUCUUGCACAAUGGGCGAAAGCCUGAUGCAGCGACGCCGCGUGAGCGAAGAAGGCCUGGUUGUAAGCUCUGUCUGGAGGGACGAAGAAAGUGACGGUACCUCCGGAGGAAGCCACGGCUAACUACGUG